rnacentral:rRNA from 1 species
GUAAGCCUACGGGACGUAGCAGUCGAGAAUCAUUCACAAUGGGGGAAACCCUGAUGGUGCGACGCCGCGUGGGGGAAUGAAGGUCUUCGGAUUGUAAACCCCUGUCAUGUGGGAGCAAAUUAAAAAGAUAGUACCACAAGAGGAAGAGACGGCUAACUCUGUGCCAGCAGCUGCGGUAAUACAGAGGUCUCAAGCGUUGUUCGGAAUCACUGGGCGUAAAGCGUGCGUAGGCUGUUUCGUAAGUCGUGUGUGAAAGGCGCGGGCUCAACCCGCGGCCGGCACAUGAUACUGCGAGACUAGAGUAA